rnacentral:lncRNA from 1 species
AAUUAGAUCUUCAAAUUUACUCAGCUGAAUUUUGUUUUUUAACACAGUCAAAUGCUGGUGUAUGUUUUUCUUAUAUCUCCUUCGGCAGCCAGCAUUGUGUGCUAAAGUAGAGUAAGCCAGCUAUAAACACUGGUCAAAUAAAAGCACAAAUUAGUGUUUUCCUACUACCCUCUUUUUUCACAUAAUUUCCUUGCCUUCUACUUUACCCUUCAUGACAAGACUCAAUGUCUAUGUAUAAUGUGUCUUGAAGUUUUUAGAAAGAUAGCUGUAAAAAUCUAGUAAAUGAGUAAUAGUGAUAAUACCUGAAGAAUUCUAUCCAUUGAAGAUUCCGUUAAUUUGGACUUAAGCCUGCUAUAGCGCAUUGACAAUCGGUUUCAAAAAGUGAAGUGCAGUGGAAGGAGAACAAGAUUACAAAUCAGGGGGUCUAAUCCUCUUCCCGUGUGCCCCUAACUUGCUCGGUGACCUUGGACAGACGCUUAUCUUCUUUAUGCCUCCAGCCUCCUUCUGUAAAGGGAUGAGCUGUAGCCAAUGUCCUCUUCCUGGUAAUGGACAGAGCCGGGGCCACUGUCCGGAGAGGAGAUAGAAUCCUGUCAGAACAGCUUUUCUUUACCACUUCUGGAUCUGCUCCGGAGUUAGAAGGCUGGCGUCUCCAUCAUUCAAUAUUUCACCCCAGCACCAAACCGACAUGGAUACUUUUGAUAUCAUUCAAGGUGCCUCUAAAGAAGGAUACAGUCUGGGAUCAGUUUAAAUGGAAUCCAUCUGAAAGAACCAGAAGGAAUGAUGGUUUCAGACAUGGAGAAUGUUCUGCUUCUAUUUUAGCAAUAAAUUUGACCUUUGUUUUUCUGGCAGCCGAGGCAUAAGGAGUAACAUGAAUGGACUAUUUAUACUUGCUGGACAAAUAGUAGGCUCAAUAAAUAUUUUUUCAUUGACUCUCAACCACCCCUUAGUUGGGAAGGCAAAAUACUGAUAGAGAAGUCCCAGAAGAAUGGAGCACAGGGUGGGUGGCUAGAAAGGUUUUUGGUGAAGGGAGAAUCCUAAAACAAGCUUCAAACUCCCCUGUCUCAACCCGUUGCCAAGGCUAGGCCAUUCUGAGAAAUUCCCAUGAUACAUGCAGGCCACCAGCAUGGCUCCAGGAGGUGAGGCAUGCCCAGUCGUUCCCUGUAGCAGUUCCAUUCCAGGAUGGAAGGUCCAUCUUGAUCUGUAGGCCAGAUAUUUCUUUGAGGAAAAUGUAGCAUUGUCUCUUUUACCCAAUCACAUACCUUUGGAAGGAAAAAAAGGCAACCCUCUACCUGUAGAUCCUUAAGCCUGAGCCCUAACCAGCUGCAGAGCUGGCUCAGAGAACCCUUCGUUACAUAAAGCUUCUGCCCCUGACUGAGGGAUGAACACAGCACCUCCUCACCGGCAGUUAGCUGCUGCCCCUCAGAUUCCCAAAGCCUGCCCUUGGGAUUCAGGGUCAGGCCCAGGCUCAGCCCCAAUUGCCCUUGUGUGAGAGAUUACUCAGUUUCAGAUCUCUGAAAUUCUCUGGGUUUCCCGGUGGAUGGGGAGCUCUCUUCAUUCUUGCUAUUCCUCAGCUUCCACGUUCCUUCACAACGGCCACUUUAAAAAGUCUUUUCUCUGCUGCUUCUUUCCCAGAUUCAGGCUUUUCCUACUACAGCCUCCUCAAAGUUAUUUCUGCUUGCUCCAGUAGGGGAGCUAGGCAGCUGCUCUGAGUUUUGCCGUCUGGGCUUAGAACAGCUUGAAGUUAGCACAAAGGCGAAUGAAGCUUUAAAUCUCCAGCACUUAACAGCUUCUCUGCAGCCUCAGAGGAUCCUCAAACAACGCUGCAACCUAGGGAGAAAAGGAAAUGUGAUAUUCAUUGAGAUUCCUCAUGUCCCAGCCCUCCAGGUCACCUAAGGAUGGGAGCUGGUCAUCAGAGGAACCAAUCCUGCGAUCAGAGGGCUGGAAUUUUCAGUCCCAUCGCCAGCCCCCCCCCCAACCAACAUCUUCCAGGAGGAGAGAGGGACUGGAGAUCGAGUUCAGUCACCAAUGGCCAAUGAUUUAAUCAAUCGUGCCUAUGUAAUGAAGCCUCCAUAAAAACCCAAAAGAUGGGGUUCACAGAGCUUCUGGGUUGAUGAACAUGUGGAGAUGUGGGGAGAGUGGCGGGCCCAGAGAGAGCAUGGAAGCUCCACGACCUUUCCCACAUGCCUUGCUCUAUACAUCUCUUCCAUUCGGCUGUUCCUGAGUUAUAUCCUUUAUAAUAAACUGGUAAUCUAGGGAGAACCGAGUGCCCAGCCAACAGCCAGCACCAACCACUGCACCUGGGACUGAGUCCAUCUUGCCCUUCCAGCUCUGUUGACCUCCCAGGGGACUGCAGCAACAGGACUGAGCCCAGCUGAGCCCAGCAGAGGAAACGCCCAGCUGAUCCACGAAUCAUGAGGCAUAAUCAAUUGUUUUACAAUACUAAAAUUUAUAUGUAAUCAAAUAAAAAUAUAUGUUGGUGAAGUGAUAUUGCAAAAGGUUAACAAUUGUAUUUAAAUGGUGGAUAUAUGAUUAUUGUGCUAUUUCUAUUUUCUGUGUGUUUGAAAAAUUUAAAAUGAAAAGUUAAAAUAGGCAAAAAAAAAAAAAAAAAAAAAAAGAAUGGUCUAUCCCUAGGCAAAAACUCAUUUGUCAGUAUAUAAUUCAUUUAUCCUAUGGGUUCCUAUGCUGGAGUAGGGAUGGGCAAAAAUAAAAUAAAAAGAAGAGAACAUAGGGGAAGAGAUUAAAAAGCAAGUUGGAAGACUAUACCAUUCAUUCAAUU